rnacentral:rRNA from 1 species
UGUUCCUACGGGACGCAGCAGUGAGGAAUAUUGGUCAAUGGCCGAGAGGCUGAACCAGCCAAGUCGCGUGAGGGAUGACGGCCCUACGGGUUGUAAACCUCUUUUGUCGGGGAGCAAGACCCGCCACGAGUGGCGGAGCGAGAGUACCCGAAGAAAAAGCAUCGGCUAACUCCGUGCCAGCAGCCGCGGUAAUACGGAGGAUGCGAGCGUUAUCCGGAUUUAUUGGGUUUAAAGGGUGCGUAGGCGGUCUGUUAAGUCAGCGGUAAAAUUGCGGGGCUCAACCCCGUCGAGCCGUUGAAACUGGG